GAGCGUUGCGGACGUGUGUUGACCUGAACGCGGGCGUCAAUCGGAUAUUAAAGUGAAAGAAAAAUAAAUUCAAUAAAACUUAAAAACAGCUAAGUAGCAAUUUAAGGAAUUGGACAAAUUGAAAAAAAAAAAAAUUAUAAAAAAUAAGUAAAAGGAAAUAAAUAAAUGAUUAAAAGGAAAUAAAUAAAUAAAAUUAUCUAAAAAAUAGGUGUUUAGCUAAGAACACAAAAAACAAAAACAAUAACAAAUAUACAUUCAACAAAGCGAUUAGCGGCUUGGCGCUUGUGUAAAUUUAUUUGAUUUCAGCCAGCUGUUGAGUACUAAAAAAGUAAAGGGCAAUUAAACGCCGACAAAAGCAAAAACAACCUACAAAAUAGAAGGCCAAGUAAAAGCAAAAUAACAAUAAAAGAAAAAAAA